rnacentral:lncRNA from 1 species
GUUUAUGUUGGCAAUAGUAUUUAUGAAGUCAACCGCAUAAUGCACUAGUCAAUUGAAAUCACGGUUCCCCAACCCUACGCCGUAAAGGCGUAGAUCCCCCAGCAGAAACACUUUCGUGAGGGUAUACAGCGUAGGCUACCUAUGUAUGGACCUAUUCCCUAAUGAACAAAAUUUUGAUCUAGACAAGUCUAGACAAAAAUUUCAUCACAGCUUGAAAGAGCGUCACAAAAUUAGUAAUAUUCGGGAGUUUCGUUGCGAAAUGUUUUAAAAUGCGGAAAAUAUAGCCCUGCGAAGUUUGCCGUUUUUCAG